AUUGAACGCUGGCGGCAUGCUUUACACAUGCAAGUCGAACGGUAACAGGCCGCAAGGUGCUGACGAGUGGCGAACGGGUGAGUAAUGCAUCGGAACGUGCCCAGUCGUGGGGGAUAACGCAGCGAAAGCUGCGCUAAUACCGCAUACGAUCUAUGGAUGAAAAGCGGGGGGACCGUAAGGCCUUCGCGCGGUUGGAGCGGCCGAUGUCAGAUUAGGUAGUUGGUGGGGUAAAAGGCUCACCAAGCCAACGAUCUGUAGCUGGUCUGAGAGGACGACCAGCCACACUGGGACUGAGACACGGCCCAGACUCCUACGGAGGCAGCAGUGGGAAUUUUGGACAAUGGGCGCAAGCCUGAUCCAGCAAUGCCGCGUGCAGGAAGAAGGCCU
rnacentral:rRNA from 1 species